UGGGAUUUAGCUCAGCGGCAUAAGCGCCUGCCUUGCAAGCAGGCAGUUGUGAGUUCGAUCCCCAGUACCGA
rnacentral:tRNA from 1 species